rnacentral:rRNA from 1 species
CCGUGCUGCACGACGGGACAGUUUAUAAGCAUUAGGCCAGCAUCCAUACAGGGAUUGCCUUAGUAACGGCGAGUGAAGCGGCUAUGAGCUCAAAUUUGAAAUCUGGCUUCUUUGAGAGCCGAGUCGUAUAUUCGUAGAAGAAGCCUCCGCUCUGGAUCCAGGCCUAGUUGCUUCGGACUGCACGGCGGAGAAGGUGAGAAUCUUGUAUGUGACUGGCACUCAGUGGAGAUGUGAAACUCUCUUCGACGAGUCGAGUUGUUUGGCAGUGCAUCUCAAAUUGGGUGGUAAAUUUCAUCUCUAGAUUUGUACGGUCGGCGGUUUCUGAACAAUAUAUAGUGAGAGAUGAAAAUAAGCACCCAUUUUUGGAUGCAGAGCCAAACAACACGUCUCAGUCGAAGAGAGGUACACGUGUAGCAAACAUGACCUGCUCGCAUGCGGAAUUCUCACCCUCUAUGACGUCCUGUCUGUUGUGAUUUAGACCGGUACCACUUGCGCGGCGUCUAUAUAGAAAUUGCAAAUCGGACCCUCUGUCGAGCGAGAUUUCUAAUUUGAGCUGUAUGCGCUUCAGUCUGCAGUUGAGGAGCGCGUUCCGGCUAGAAUCAUGGCGUCAGCAUAGUGAUAUACUCAACUUCAACGACC